rnacentral:rRNA from 1 species
UAAUACGGAGGGCCCAAGCGUUAUCCGGAUUUAUUGGGUUUAAAGGGUCCGUAGGCGGGUUAAUAAGUCAGUGGUGAAAUCCUACAGCUCAACUGUAGAACUGCCAUUGAAACUGUUAACCUUGAAUAUAAUUGAAGUAGGCGGAAUGUGUCAUGUAGCGGUGAAAUGCUUAGAUAUGCCACAGAACACCGAUUGCGAAGGCAGCUUACUAAGUUAUUAUUGACGCUGAGGGACGAAAGCGUGGGUAGCGAACAGGAUUAGAUACCCUGGUAGUCCACGCCGUAAACGAUGUAUACUCGUUGCUAGCGAUACACAGUUAGUGACCAAGCGAAAGUAUUAAGUAUACCACCUGGGGAGUACGAUCGCAAGAUUG